rnacentral:rRNA from 1 species
UGGAAUUGCUAGUAAUGGCAGGUCAGCAUACUGCCGUGAAUGCGUUCCCGGGCCUUGUACACACCGCCCGUCACACCAUGAGAGUUGGAAAUACCCGAAGCCUGUGAGCUAACUGUAAAGAGGCAGCAGUCGAAGGUAGAGCCAAUGAUUGGGGUGAAGUCGUAACAAGGUAAC